UUUAUUGUUUAAUAACAAAAAAUGAAAAUUUGAGUUAAAUUAGUCGACUUGCAUUUCUUUUCAUGGGCUAUGAUAUGCGGGUAGGUCAGGCCCGUAGCCAGACCAAAUUUUCAGGUGGGGCAAAGUAAACUUUUUUUGGUGGGCAUUAGAUACAUAAAUGUCUCAAUAAUAUUUUUAGGGGGGCAACGCCUCCUUCUCCCCCCCGCCCCGUGGCUAUGGGCCUGGAGUAGGUACAGCUAGUUUUAAAUAUAAUUAAGUUAAAUAAUUAAGAACCACCCAGCACUCUAAUGGAGUUUAAAGAACCUUACUAAGUUCCAGUUUAUUUAGACUUUGUUUGCCCAUACUGCAGUCGCUAGUACUGACCACGAUUUAAGAUAGUACCUAAUAGAUAGAUACUGUCUUAAAUCGUGGUAUUGACUAAUUUAUUUAACUAUCUAAUAACAAUCUCUUACCUCUUUUUCUACAUUCAAAUUUUUGUAGUUAAGUUGGUUUAAAACAAAGAAUAAAUCUAAGAGAUUAUUGUUAGACAUACUUAAAUAUCAGCAUUAUGCCAUUAUCAUCCUGUAAACUUAAAUAAUUGGUAAUUAUAUUUUUAGGUAAAAGAUGGUCAGCAGAUAAAAAUUUACAAAUGUUUCAUUGCAAUUCACAUUUCUAUAAUAGCUUCCUUCUAUUUGGAUUAUGGAAAGCUUUUGCUGACCUAACCUUUGCAAAAAACGAAUUUUUUUGUUUGUGUUUAGUUUUUACGCAAAAUAAAUUAAUCUAACCUUGUAUACAUUAAGUGCAUUAAUUUACUACUUAAUAAUUAUUAUAAUUUGUUUUAGAUUUGUUAACAAAUAAAUAGAAACCAUUCAAAAUUGUAGUGGUUUUUUAAAUAUGCCACCAUAUUAUCAAUAUUAUCUAGUCAUUAGUCAAUAGUUUAAAAUUAAACCACCAUGUGCGCUGGUAAUAGUGAAGGUACAACAAAGUCCUACCAACCACACCAAAACGAUGUUAAUUCAUAAAAAUACAAAAUAUUUUAUUCUGUUUCUGUGUUUACCUCCAUAAAACUACCCUUAGAUCAUAUGCAUUGGAUAGUCGUUUAAAAAAAUUGUGAAGUCAAUAUAAGACUUUACAAACAUAGUAUGACUGCAGUGAUAUGCGCAUGCGCGUGAUUUCUCAUCAAUCAUAAGUUUUUGGCGCAGAUAUCUAUUAAAUUAACAAGAUAAAAGUGUCAUUAGAUUUAAACAUUUUUAAAAAUAAAUUUAUAAAUGCAAUAUUAUUAUAUUUUAACAUUAGUCAUAAUUAUUCAUUGAAUAAAAAGCGGAUUCUUAGGUUCUUAAAAGCUUAAAAUAUGAUGCCAAAAAAAAAUAUGUUCUAAAAAAAACCUAAAAUAUUCUCUAAAUAUUCUUUAAAUUUUUAAAAAUGAUUCACAAAACCCAUCAUCUUUACAUUUAUUAGAGCUUACAAAAAGGAUACUUGCACUGAAGUGAACAAAUUCCAUACAUUGAGCCGUCUACUUGAUGCCUUAUCAAAAAGCAUUUGUGUGCAGAACGAAAUUGGACGACAUUUGGAUUGCUGUUACUUAUAAACCUCUGCUUCUCAUUGCACAAAAGAAAACAUCUAAAGAUCUUGACUCAAUUUAUAAGAAAGUAAAUAAUUCAUUUAUAAUUAUUACUAUAUGUUUAGUUGUAUUAUAAUACAGAUAUUUUGCACUUUUUAAAAUUAAAAACACUAUAUACCCAAUUAAAGUUAAUUGUAUUAACUAACUGUAGACAUAAAAAACACCCAUUAUUAAAUAUUUUUAUAUACCUCAUCAAAUUGGAAAGUAAUUAAAAUUAUUAAUUAAUUUAAAUUAAAAGAAAAUUAUAUAUAUAUAUUAUAUUACAACAAUGUUUUGUAAAUUCAGAAUUAAUGAUACGCUCACAGA